ACCAUUGACAUUUGGAAUUCUAUAUAAGAGUAGGUCAUAACGCCGUUGACCGGGAAAAAUUUCACUCGCGGCACACUGUAUGGUGGCGUAUGCCCAUGCGUUAAGGAAGCCCAAUUUAUCAGUGGAUGCAAAGAUGAACACAAAUGUAUGCCAAUUGUUUUGUCCAAUCUGGGCUCCGAUCCCCCUGGGCCCUCGAUCCCAUGCCAGUAUGCCCCUGUAUGUUUGUAAUAGAAAAACAUAUUCAAUAUUGCAUAAGCCUGUGUAAUUCAUUUUCCUGGUCUUGGCUGCGUGACUUGUUAAUCUAGACUAAAAUAUUUUUUCAUCGGGAAUUAACUGUACGGAAAACUGUAUCACCCAAGCUGUCGAAUUCAGUCAAUAACAAGGACAUUUUUUUUGUCGAUAUUGCUAUCCAUUUAACCUAGUUAAACACCGGCGUGCAGUGAACAUAAAGACGGUUGGUAUGUCAACGGCUCUUCAUUAGUGUAAUUAUUGAAAGGAUUAAAGUGUAGCAGAUGAUUUAUAUGUAAUCAAUAUGUUUGAAAAGUAGGACCAUAAUCCCCGUUUCAUUUCAAUUCAGUAUGUCUGAUACAAGCCUCAAAAGAAGACAUUAUCAAAUAAUAAGGAAAAAUUAUACCUAUUUGGUGGACAUUUUGGAUGUGAAACAAAUUAUGGAUUCGCUGUUUUCUCGGGGGUAUUUAACCAAAGAUGAUUUAGAAGAAAUCAAAGCUGAAGAUUCGCGAAGAAAUGCAGCGAGAAAGUUUCUGAACAUUUUAAGUCGAUCUGGAAUAGACGUCUAUGAACCAUUUAUAGAGAGUUUGCGGUUAAACGGGUACACGCACGUUGUAGAGAAACUAGAAAAUCUCCAUCAGUGAAGCCACGUGUCUGGUUCCCUGUUUUAUCAAGUACUGUUCAUACACUAACUCCAGUGUAUGGGACCCUAUGGUCUUGUGCCAGAGUAGGUAUUUCUGUUGGAUUUUGCAUCCGCUUCCAUCGACGUCCAGAGAUCUGUACAACAUUAUUGUCCUAAUCGGCCUCAUCACGAUGUAAAUAAUAACAUUUAAUCCCUAUUGAUCAAAUUGUUCAUAAGAUUGCGUAUUUAUUUUUUCUAUCGGGUGAUAUCCAUUGUAUUUCUCAGAUAUUAUCCAUUUUAAUUAAAAUUAAAUAAUACCAUAUCUUCAGAUACUUUUAAUUGACAAAGAAACGAUUUCCUAUGAGACCAACCUCGCAGAAUUUACCAAUUUGAAUCUUUAAAAUGUAUCGGGAUGACUCCUUGUCCGUAAAGGAGUGGGGUUAUGACAAUUGGUUCUUGUUGUGGACAUUCCUGUAGCGAUAACCGGUCUCCGGCAUUUGCGUUAAUUUCAGUAGAAUUUACAGAUCAACCAUACUUUAAAGCACGAAUUAGAAUUCAAUAUUAGUACAUUACAUUUCAAUCAAUAUAAAUGUUGUUGUCUUGCCGUGAAAAUAUAGGAUCCAAAAAUCAUAUAUUUAAGGCAGAAUGAACAUUUUAAAAUCAGUACACGAAUCCUUUACUCUAUGGGCACCAUUUGUAAUGCACAAAUAACACAUAACCCAUAAUACAAUGCGGAAGUUAUUAGUGAUGGUUGAUUCACAAACGACAAAAUAAAAAAAGGUAAAAAAAAAAAAAAAAAAAAAA